AGCUCCAAUAGCGUAUAUUAAAGUUGCUGCAGUUAAAAAGCUCGUAGUUGCAUUUCCGAGGCAAGGGAUUAGUCCGACCUUUGGUGGGUAUUUAAUCCUCUUGCCUCGUCCUUGAGUGGUGCUUCUUGGUAUUAAGUUAUCGAGGAGAUAGCCGCUCAUCGUUUACUGUGAGAAAAUUAGAGUGUUCAAAGCAGGCUUAUGCCGUUGAAUAUAUUAGCAUGGAAUAAUAAGAUAGGACCUCGGUACUAUUUUGGUGGUUUGAGAACCAAGGUAAUGAUGAAUAGGGACAGUUGGGGGUAUUCGUAUUCAGUUGUCAGAGGUGAAAUUCUUAGAUUUACGGAAGACGAACUACUGCGAAAGCAUUUACCAAGGAUGUCUUCA
rnacentral:rRNA from 1 species